rnacentral:rRNA from 1 species
CAGUCGCCGCGGUAAAACGGAGGGCGCGAGCGUUACCCGGAUUUACUGGGCGUAAAGGGCGUGUAGGCGGCCUGGGGCGUCCCAUGUGAAAGGCCACGGCUCAACCGUGGAGGAGCGUGGGAUACGCUCAGGCUAGAGGGUGGGAGAGGGUGGUGGAAUUCCCGGAGUAGCGGUGAAAUGCGCAGAUACCGGGAGGAACGCCGAUGGCGAAGGCAGCCACCUGGUCCACUUCUGACGCUGAGGCGCGAAAGCGUGGGGAGCAAACCGGAUUAGAGACCCCAGUAGUCCCUGUCUCUUAUAC